GCCUGGGUGGCUCAGUCAGUUGAGCAUCUGACUUUGGCUCAGGUCAUGAUCUCGCGGUGUGUGAGUUUGAGCCCCGCGUCAGGCG
rnacentral:tRNA from 1 species